rnacentral:pre_miRNA from 1 species
AGGAGGAACAACCCCAGUGGCGGCGGCCAGCUCUGGAGCCCUGGAUUCAGCCCCCGCAGUAACUCCAGAGCUCUCCGUCUGCAGGGCCUGGAGGCUCCGGGGCGGG